rnacentral:rRNA from 1 species
GGCCUAUACAUGCAAGUCGAACGGUAACAUUGGUGCUUGCACCAGAUGACGAGUGGCGCACGGGUGCGUAACGCGUAUGCAACCUACCUUUUACUAGAGUAUAGCCCAGAGAAAUUUGGAUUAAUCCUCUAUAACAUCUUUUAAUUUCAUGAUUUUAAGAUUAAAGUUUUAACGGUAAAAGAUGGGCAUGCGUCCUAUUAGUUUGUAGGUGAGGUAACGGCUCACCUAGACUACGAUAGGUAGGGGCCCUGAGAGGGGGAUCCCCCACACUGGUACUGAGACACGGACCAGACUCCUACGGGAGGCAGCAGUAAGGAAUAUUGGACAAUGGACGAAAGUCUGAUCCAGCCAUGCCGCGUGCAGGAUGACAGCCCUACGGGUUGUAAACUGCUUUUAUACAGGAAGAAACACUCCGACGUGUCGGAGCUUGACGGUACUGUAAGAAUAAGGAUCGGCUAACUCCGUGCCAGCAGCCGCGGUAAUACGGAGGAUCCAAGCGUUAUCCGGAAUCAUUGGGUUUAAAGGGUCCGCAGGCUGUUUUUUAAGUCAGAGGUGAAAUCCUACAGCUCAACUGUAGAACUGCCUUUGAUACUGGAAAACUUGAGUUAUUGUGAAGUGGUUAGAAUGUGUGGUGUAGCGGUGAAAUGCAUAGAUAUCACACAGAAUACCGAUUGCGAAGGCAGAUCACUAACCAUAUACUGACGCUCAUGGACGAAAGCGUGGGGAGCGAACAGGA